AAGGGCCCACCAAGGCGACGAUCAGUAGCCGGCCUGAGAGGGUGAACGGCCACAUUGGGACUGAGACACGGCCCAAACUCCUACGGAAGGCAGCAG
rnacentral:rRNA from 1 species